rnacentral:misc_RNA from 1 species
CAGCCGUGGAGCAUCAGCAAUCCACAUCAUCUCCCUUGGCCGAGCGGUUCCCUUGCGGCGCCCAGGAUCCUUCCCAGACGCGCUCGGCUCCCUGGUCUGUCACCUUGCCGGCGUUCCCCUCCACCUAGCAUGCCCGUCAGGCCCUCUCUUCGCCACCCUGCCAUGGAGCUCGUCCCAUGCCCAACGCCGGCCAACCUCACUUCCCAUGGUCGUCCCUUCCUCCUUCCUCCCUAUGGUCGACGGCCUCACCUUCCAUGGCUUCCAAGAUCUGCUCAACAUCCAUUCUAGCGCGCACCCCUGCUUCCGUUUCCUGGUGGCCGACGCCCCCUCCCUGGAGCUCGCCCUUGCUCAUCCACUCGUCCUCGUCUUCAUUGCGGGCAUCAGCGCCCUUCGCCUCCUGCCGGAGAGAAAUUGGAGGAAUCUGGCGAAGAAGAAAAGAACCCUGUCUGUCGCGCCCAAGCCGCGUCGAGCCCCUUCGUCUCGCCCUUUCCCUACACCUUCACUAUCCAUGGUCGCUACUCUCCUUUCCCUGAUUAAUACUAGGCGCAGCAGCAGCAACAUGCCAGAUCUCUGUAGCCCAGGAAAUUUAGAUGAGAAGAAAGCUUUAGCGAGGCGCUUGCCAAGUGCUUGGUGAAUCGCCUCAAUCGGAUGUGGUUGUCGAUCUCGCGGAGUCGAGUCGAGUUUAGUCGUGGUAAGUCGAUCCAUUGUUUCCGAUAGUCGGAUGAAUGAUUAGUUUGUGUGGAUGUAUAAGGCUUGUGC